UAUUGGACAACCAUGGCUUUCACGGGUAACGGAGGAUUAGGGUUCGAUUCCGGAGAGGGAGCCUGAGAAACGGCUACCACAUCUAAGGAAGGCAGCAGGCGCGUAAAUUACCCAAUCCUGACUCAGGGAGGUAGUGACAAGAAAUAACGGACCGAGGCCCUCGGGCUUCGGGAUUGCAAUGAGCCGAAUUUACACCCCUUAGCGAGGAUCGAUUGGAGGGCAAGUCUGGUGCCAGCAGCCGCGGUAAUUCCAGCUCCAAUAGCGUAUAUUAAAGUUGUUGCAGUUAAAAAGCUCGUAGUUGGAUUUCUGGGAGGGUGCCAAUGUCCGCCGACGUGCGUGCGCAGCGGCGCCCUUCCAUCCUUCUGUUAACGCCUCUUGGCAUUCAUUUGCUGGUGGCGGGCUCAGAUAUUUUACCUCGAGAAAAUUAGAGUGUUUCAGGCAGGCUAGGCCGGAAUACAUUAGCAUGGAAUAAUGGAAUAGGACUACGGUCUCUUUGUUGGUUUGAGGGACUGCAGUAAUGAUUAAUAGGGAUAGUUGGGGGCAUUAGUACUUAACUGUCAGAGGUGGAAUUCUCAGAUUUGUUAAAGACUGACUUAUGCGAAAGCAUUUGCCAAGGAUGUUUUCA
rnacentral:rRNA from 1 species